rnacentral:rRNA from 1 species
CGAACGCUGGCGGCAGGCCUGAUACAUGCAAGUCGAACGGCUCUUCGGAGCAGUGGCGGACGGGUGAGUAACGCGUGGGAAUGUGCCCUUAGGUACGGAACAACACAGGGAAACUUGUGCUAAUACCGUAUGUGCCCUUCGGGGGAAAGAUUUAUCGCCUUUGGAGCAGCCCGCGUUGGAUUAGGUAGUUGGUGAGGUAAAGGCUCACCAAGCCGACGAUCCAUAGCUGGUCUGAGAGGAUGACCAGCCACACUGGGACUGAGACACGGCCCAGACUCCUACGGGAGGCAGCAGUAGGGAAUCUUGCGCAAUGGGCGAAAGCCUGACGCAGCCAUGCCGCGUGUAUGAUGAAGGUCUUAGGAUUGUAAAAUACUUUCACCGGGGAAGAUAAUGACGGUACCCGGAGAAGAAGCCCCGGCUAACUUCGUGCCAGCAGCCGCGGUAA